GAUUUCUGGUUUAAUGCACCUGGCCCGCGGCCACUAGGCUUGUGAGUGCCGGCGCGCGUUUACCAUCCUUCUAGAAAACGAUUCUGCCAUUAACUUGGUUGGGAUCGCGAUCUAGAUCUUUUACUUUGAAAAAAUUAGAGUGUUUAAAGCAGGCGAUUGCUCUGAAUACAUUAGCAUGGAAUAAUAAAAUAGGACUUUGGUUUUAUUUUGUUGGUUUCUAAAACUGAAGUAAUGAUUGAUAGGGACAGUUGGGGGUGCUAGUAUUCGACGGCCAGAGGUGAAAUUCUUGGAUUCGUUGAAGACUAACUAAUGCGAAAGCAUU
rnacentral:rRNA from 1 species